rnacentral:rRNA from 1 species
UACAGAGGAUCCGAGCGUUAUCCGGAUUUAUUGGGUUUAAAGGGUGCGUAGGCGGCUUUUUAAGUCAGCGGUGAAAUUUUGCAGCUUAACUGUAACAGUGCCGUUGAUACUGGGGAGCUAGGAUUUGGUUGCUGUGGGUGGAAUGUGUGGUGUAGCGGUGAAAUGCUUAGAGAUCACACAGAAUAUCGAUUGCGAAGGCAGCUCACAAAGCCAAGAUUGACGCUGAGGCGCGAAAGCGUGGGGAGGCAAACAGGAUUA